UACGGGGGGGGCAAGCGUUGUUCGGAAUUACUGGGCGUAAAGGGCGCGUAGGCUGUGCUGUAAGUCAGGCGUGAAAGCCCCGGGCUCAACCUGGGAAUUGCGCUUGAUACUGCGGCGCUGGAAGGUGGGAGAGGAUGGCGGAAUUCCCAGUGUAGAGGUGAAAUUCGUAGAUAUUGGGAAGAACACCGGUGGCGAAGGCGGCCAUCUGGCCCACAAUUGACGCUGAGGCGCGAAAGCGUGGGGAGCAAACAGG
rnacentral:rRNA from 1 species